UACGAAGGGGGCUAGCGUUGCUCGGAAUCACUGGGCGUAAAGCGCACGUAGGCGGAUUGUUAAGUCAGGGGUGAAAUCCUGGAGCUCAACUCCAGAACUGCCUUUGAUACUGGCGAUCUUGAGUCCGGGAGAGGUGAGUGGAACUGCGAGUGUAGAGGUGAAAUUCGUAGAUAUUCGCAAGAACACCAGUGGCGAAGGCGGCUCACUGGACCGGUAUUGACGCUGAGGUGCGAAAGCGUGGGGAGCAAACAGG
rnacentral:rRNA from 1 species